UCUGGUUGAUCCUGCCAGAGGUCACUGCUAUCGGGGUUCGAUUAAGCCAUGCGAGUCGAGAGGGUUCGGCCCUCGGCGUACUGCUCAGUAACACGUGGAUAACCUGCCCUAAGGAAGGGGAUAACCCCGGGAAACUGGGGAUAAUACCCUAUAGGUUACAGAUGCUGGAAUGCUCUGUAACUCAAAGUUCCGGCGCCUUAGGAUGGAUCUGCGGCCGAUUAGGUUGUUGUUGGGGUAAUGGCCCAACAAGCCCGUAAUCGGUACGGGUUGUGGGAGCAAGAGCCCGGAGAUGGAUUCUGAGACAUGAAUCCAGGCCCUACGGGGCGCAGCAGGCGCGAAAACUUUACAAUGCGGGAAACCGUGAUAAGGGAACACCGAGUGCCAGCAUCAUAUGCUGGCUGUCCAGAUGUGUAAACUACAUCUGUUAGCAAGGGCCGGGCAAGACCGGUGCCAGCCGCCGCGGUAACACCGGCGGCCCGAGUGGUGACCGUUAUUAUUGGGUCUAAAGGGUCCGUAGCCGGUUUGGUCAGUCCUCCGGGAAAUCUGAUAGCUUAACUGUUAGGCUUUCGGGGGAUACUGCCAGGCUUGGAACCGGGAGAGGUAAGAGGUACUACAGGGGUAGGAGUGAAAUCUUGUAAUCCCUGUGAGACCACCUGUGGCGAAGGCGUCUUACCAGAACGGGUUCGACGGUGAGGGACGAAAGCUGGGGGCACGAACCGGAUUAGAUACCCGGGUAGUCCCAGCCGUAAACUAUGCUCGCUAGGUGUCAGGCAUGGCGCGACCGUGUCUGGUGCCGCAGGGAAGCCGUGAAGCGAGCCACCUGGGAAGUACGGCCGCAAGGCUGAAACUUAAAGGAAUUGGCGGGGGAGCACAACAACGGGUGGAGCCUGCGGUUUAAUUGGACUCAACGCCGGACAACUCACCGGGAACGACAGCAAUAUGUAGGCCAGGCUGAAGACCUUGCCUGAAUCGCUGAGAGGAGGUGCAUGGCCGUCGCCAGUUCGUACUGUGAAGCAUCCUGUUAAGUCAGGCAACGAGCGAGACCC
rnacentral:rRNA from 1 species